AUGUUUGACACUCUGGCGGUGCAUCAUUUGGUGGUGGAGGUGGUGAUGGGUUAACUCGGCCGUAAGUUUCUAGGCCCUCUGGAGGUGAUGAUGACGGUUCUCCAUCUGGUGAUGGUGGUGGUGGUGAUUCAACUCGCAGGUGCUCCAUUUGGUAGUGGUGGUGGUGAUGAUGGGUUAACUUGGCCGUAAGUUUCUUGGCCCUUGGGCAGUUCACCUUCUGGUGGUGGCGGUGGUGGUGAUACAACUCGGAGGUUAGUUUCUUGGCCCUUUGAAGGUGC
rnacentral:lncRNA from 1 species